rnacentral:rRNA from 1 species
AUUGAACGCUGGCGGCAUGCCUUACACAUGCAAGUCGAACGGCAUCGCGGGAAAGCUUGCUUUCCUGGCGGCGAGUGGCGAACGGGUGAGUAACACAUCGGAACGUACCGGCUAGUGGGGGAUAACCCGUCGAAAGACGGGCUAAUACCGCAUACGCUCUUCGGAGGAAAGCAGGGGACCUUUGGGCCUUGCGCUAGUCGAGCGGCCGAUGUCCGAUUAGCUAGUUGGUGGGGUAAAGGCCUACCAAGGCGACGAUCGGUAGCGGGUCUGAGAGGACGAUCCGCCACACUAGGACUGAGACACGGCCCAGACUCCUACGGGAGGCAGCAGUGGGGAAUCUUGGACAAUGGGGGCAACCCUGAUCCAGCAAUGCCGCGUGGGUGAAGAAGGCCUUCGGGUUGUAAAGCCCUUUCGGCAGGGAAGAAAUCUGCGGGGCGAAUAACCCUGCUGGAUGACGGUACCUGCAGAAGAAGCACCGGCUAACUACGUG